GCAGUGGGGAAUAUUGCACAAUGGGCGAAAGCCUGAUGCAGCAACGCCGCGUGAGUGAUGAAGGCUUUCGAGUCGUAAAGCUCUUUGAUCAGGGAUGAUAAUGACAGUACCUGAAAAACAAGCCACGGCUAACUACGUGCCAGCAGCCGCGGUAAUACGUAGGUGGCGAGCGUUGUCCGGAAUUACUGGGCGUAAAGGAUGCGUAGGUGGAUAUUUAAGUGGGAUGUGAAAUCCCCGGGCUCAACCCGGGAACUGCAUUCCAAACUGGAUGUCUAGAGUGCAGGAGAGGAAAGCGGAAUUCCUAGUGUAGCGGUGAAAUGCGUAGAUAUUAGGAGGAACACCAGUGGCGAAGGCGGCUUUCUGGACUGUAACUGACACUGAGGCAUGAAAGCGUGGGUAGCAAACAGGAUUAGAUACCCUGGUAGUCCACGCCGUAAACGAUGGGUACUAGGUGUAGGAGGUAUCGACCCCUUCUGUGCCGUCGUUAACACAAUAAG
rnacentral:rRNA from 1 species